CGCACGGGUGAGUAACGCGUAUCCAACCUUCCCUAUAGUAGAGAAUAGCCCGGCGAAAGUCGGAUUAAUGCUCUAUGUUGUAUUUAGAAGACAUCUGAAGAAUACCAAAGGUUUACCGCUAUAGGAUGGGGAUGCGUCUGAUUAGGUAGUAGGCGGGGUAACGGCCCACCUAGCCGACGAUCAGUAGGGGUUCUGAGAGGAAGGUCCCCCACAUUGGAACUGAGACACGGUCCAAACUCCUACGGGAGGCAGCAGUGAGGAAUAUUGGUCAAUGGACGGAAGUCUGAACCAGCCAAGUAGCGUGCAGGAUGACGGCCCUAUGGGUUGUAAACUGCUUUUAUAUAGGGAUAAAGUCGGGGACGUGUCCCCGUUUGUAGGUACUAUAUGAAUAAGGACCGGCUAAUUCCGUGCCAGCAGCCGCGGUAAUACGGAAGGUCCAGGCGUUAUCCGGAUUUAUUGGGUUUAAAGGGAGCGCAGGCUGAUGAUUAAGCGUGACGUGAAAUGUAGCCGCUCAACGGCUGAACUGCGUCGCGAACUGGUUAUCUUGAGUGAGUUCGAUGUUGGCGGGAUUCGUGGUGUAGCGGGUGAAAUGCUUAGAUAUCACGAAGAACUCCGAUUGCGAAGGCAGCCAACAAGGCCUUUACUGACGCUAAAGCUCGAAGGUGCGGGUAUCGAACAGGAUUAGAUACCCUGGUAGUCCGCACGGUAAAACGAUGGAUGCCCGCUGUUUGCGAUAUACUGUGAGCGGCCAAGAGAAAUCGUUAAGCAUCCCACCUGGGGAGUACGCCGGCAACGGUGAAACUCAAAGGAAUUGACGGGGGCCCGCACAAGCGGAGGAACAUGUGGUUUAAUUCGAUGAUACGCGAGGAACCUUACCCCGGGCUUGAACUGCCAGCGAACGAUUCAGAGAUGAUGAGGUCUUCGGGACGCUGGUGGAGGUGCUGCAUGGUUGUCGUCAGCUCGUGCCGUGAGGUGUCGGCUUAAGUGCCAUAACGAGCGCAACCCUUUUCUUUAGUUGCC
rnacentral:rRNA from 1 species